CCUAAGGUAGCGAAAUUCCUUGUCGGGUAAGUUCCGACCUGCACGAAUGGCGUAACGACUUCUCCGCUGUCUCAACCGCGAACUCGGCGAAAUUGCACUACGAGUAAAGAUGCUCGUUACGCGCAGCAGGACGGAAAGACCCCGGGACCUUUACUAUAGCUUGGUAUUGGUGUUCGGUGCGGCUUGUGUAGGAUAGGUGGGAGACUGUGAAGCCCGUACGCCAGUGCGGGUGGAGUCAACGUUGAAAUACCACUCUGGCCGCUUCGGAUGUCUAACCUCGGUCCGUGAUCCGGACCAGGGACAGUGCCUGGUGGGUAGUUUAACUGGGGCGGUUGCCUCCUAAAAUGUAACGGAGGCGCUCAAAGGUUCCCUCAGCCUGGUUGGCAAUCAGGUGUCGAGUGCAAGUGCACAAGGGAGCUUGACUGUGAGACUGACAGGUCGAGCAGGGACGAAAGUCGGAACUAGUGAUCCGGCGGUGGCUUGUGGAAGCGCCGUCGCUCAACGGAUAAAAGGUACCCCGGGGAUAACAGGCUGAUCUUGCCCAAGAGUCCAUAUCGACGGCAUGGUUUGGCACCUCGAUGUCGGCUCGUCGCAUCCUGGGGCUGGAGUAGGUCCCAAGGGUUGGGCUGUUCGCCCAUUAAAGCGGUACGCGAGCUGGGUUUAGAACGUCGUGAGACAGUUCGGUCCCUAUCCGCUGCGCGCGCAGGAAACUUGAGAAGGGCUGUCCCUAGUACGAGAGGACCGGGACGGACGAACCUCUGGUGUGCCAGUUGUUCCGCCAGGAGCACCGCUGGUUGGCUACGUUCGGAAGGGAUAACCGCUGAAAGCAUCUAAGCGGGAAGCCUGCUUCAAGAUGAGGUUUCCAUACCCUACGGGGUGAGAGGCACCCAGCAGAACACUGGGUCGAUAGGCCGGACGUGGAAGCGGGGACGAAAGACCCGUGCAGCUGACCGGUACUAAUCAGCCGACAACUUCAACAC
rnacentral:rRNA from 1 species